rnacentral:lncRNA from 1 species
GACCGUAACUUUAAGCACACGUGAGCGUCCUCAGCUGGCAGCCAUGGCUGGCGGGUCCUUCCUAGCAUGUGCUGCGGCCCUCACCUUAUCUUCCGUCAUCAGGGCACAGGCGCCGUGCAGGGCUAUUCCGAGUCCAGGUAGAGAUGGCUGAGCUCGGUGGCAGGAGAUCAGCCUGCGGUGGAGCAGGGACGUUUGCCCUGGGGAGACACGUGCCACCGGGUGGACAUCGAGGCCCUGUGGGUGGCCCUACAGCGUGGAAGGGAUGACCGAGCUUUGGGACAUGUCCUGGUAAGUCAGUUGUGGAAGCUCGGUGGCCGGUGAAGCCAAACUCCGUAUCUUGAAUUCAUUUUCAGGACUAAUUCUCUCCCCUAGACUUCUGGGGACUGGGAGACUGCAGUAUGGGUCGUGCAGGAUUGGAGUGAUAUACUUAGCAAGCCUCCAGCGUGCUUGGGUCUGCAGUGACCCUGUGCAUUCCUACAGUGCUUGCCAGAACAAUUUUGAAGUGGUUUGAGGCCUUGCCCUGCCCUCUCCAGAGCAAGGUUAUAGAAAUUUCAGACAAUAUGGCAGACACCUGCCACGUGGAUAAAUUACAAGCCGGAAACCUAAGGUGCUGGAGCUAGAAGAGACUUGAUAGCACUUCAGAGACCAUCAGGCUGUUUCGUGGAACUUCCACCAAAGAGAUGCAGAAAUGGAGACUCCAGAGCUGGAGAGAGAGAGAUGACUCAACUGUUAAAAGCACUGACUGCUCUUCCAGAGGUCCUGAGUUCAAUUCCCAGCAACCACAUGGUGGCUCACAAUUAUCUGUAAUGGGGAUCCGAUGCCCUCCUCUGGUGUGUCUGAAGACAGUGAUGGUGUACUGACAUAUAUGAAGUAAAUAAGUAAAUUAAUAAAUAGAAAUGAGACUCCA